ACCACGCCCAGCUAAUUUUGUACUUUUAGUACAGACGGAGUUUCUCCAUGUUGGUCAGGCAGGUCUGGAACUCCCGACCUCAGAUGCUCCACCCGCCUCGGCCUCUCAAAGUGCUGGGAUUACAGGCGUGACCCACUGUGGUCGGACAGGUGAGAAAACUGAGACUCAGAUGAGCUAAAAACACAUUCACGAUCAUAUAGUAAUAAGCGAUGGAACUGGGAUUCAAUCCAGUUCUGUCUGACUCCAAAGGUGGUGCAUCAUCUUAAUGAAGACCAAGUUAUACCCAGCACAUGAAGGUACUCAAAAGAUGUGGAUUCCCUUUUACUAUCCCCUUAUGUGUGAAUUUCAGUGGCUUUCACAACCUCAGAACAACCCCACACACCCUCCCAGGUUGCCUUUCAGUGGUUCCAUUCUU
rnacentral:lncRNA from 1 species